GCACCAGACACAGUGCCUCAGGGCUUGCAAAGUGAUGUAUUAAGAUCUCUAUCUCUUUUGUUAAGAAGUUCAAAAUAACCAGAAUUAUGAAGGAAACACGAGAACUGGAACAAUAAAAAACUUUCGUUGGAGUGCAGAACAUAGUGAUAACCAUGAAGAAAAAAGGACAAUCAUGCUAGGAAUUCAACAGAAUUUCAAAGAUUGAAAUAUUUCCCAUAAAAAUCAGGAAUAAAAGUAUCCUGUGAGGCACAUAAACAGUAUGUACCAUACCUUCCCGCCAAAGCCUGCCCUCUCACUCUGUGCAUGGUGCAGUGUGUAUUUAACAUGCAUUAUGUCACUCAGAUGAGCUUUUCUGGCACAGGGCCUGCCUACCAGCACAGUCUCCACUACCACUGGCCCAACAAAGAAAUAUAGACUAGGUAAGUAAUUAAAAAACAAUCCAGACGUUAACUUAUUUGCCUGUCUUCCAAAGCUGACAAAAAGGAGAGCUUCCUUUGACAGCUUCUUUCACCUGACUACUAUGUCACAUAGGAGGGAGCUAAGUUUUAUUUUCUAUGGCACUAAAGAUUGCUCUCCUGAAGUAAUCCUUUUGCAAACUGC